rnacentral:rRNA from 1 species
UAGAGUUUGAUCCUGGCUCAGAACGAACGCAUGGCGGCAUGCCUAACACAUGCAAGUCGAACGAGACCUUCGGUGUCUAGUGGCGCACGGGUGCGUAACGCGUGGGAAUCUGCCCUUGGGUUCGGAAUAACAGUGGGAAACUACUGCUAAUACCGGAUGAUGACGUAAGUCCAAAGAUUUAUCGCCCAAGGAUGAGCCCGCGUAAGAUUAGCUUGUUGGUGAGGUAAAGGCUCACCAAGGCGACGAUCUUUAGCUGGUCUGAGAGGAUGAUCAGCCACACUGGGACUGAGACACGGCCCAGACUCCUACGGGAGGCAGCAGUGGGGAAUAUUGGACAAUGGUCGAAAGCCUGAUCCAGCCAUGCCGCGUGAGUGAUGAAGGUCUUAGGAUUGUAAAGCUCUUUCACCGAUGAAGAUAAUGACGGUAGUCGGAGAAGAAGCCCGGGCUAACUUCGUGCCAGCAGCCGCGGUAAUACGAAGGUCCCGAGCGUUGUUCGGAAUCACUGGGCGUAAAGGGAGCGUAGCGGCGCGGUAAGUCAGAUGUGAAAUCCCGGGGCUCAACCCCGGAACUGCAUCCGAUACUGCCGUGCUCGAGCAUUGGAGAGGUAGCUGGAAUUCUUGGUGUAGCAGUGAAAUGCGUAGAGAUCAAGAGGAACACUCGUGGCGAAAGCGAGCUACUGGACAAUUGCUGACGCUGAGGCUCGAAGGCUAGGGUAGCGAAAGGGAUUAGAUACCCCUGUAGUCCUAGCCAGUAAACGGUGCACGCUUGGUGUGAGGGGAAUCGACCCCCCUUGUGCCGGAGCUAACGCGUUAAGCGUGCCGCCUGGGAAGUACGGUCGCAAGACUAGGACUCAUAGAAAUUGACGGGGACCCGCACAAGCGGGUGGAGUAUGUGGCUUAAUUCAGAUGCAACCCGAAAAAACUUACCAAGGCUUGCAUGCCUCGGGGAAACACUUGAAACCGUGUGACCCUUCCCGGGAAUUUGCACAAGUGAUUGAUUGGCCGUCACCAGCUCGAGUCGUGAGAUGUUGGGGAAAAAUCCCCCAACAACCGCAACCCUUGCCGAAUACUUGCCACAACACCAUCAAGGUGGGAAACCCAAUUCAGAACUGUCCCAGAAUCAACUGGAAAGGUCACGUAGGGNAACAGACAGUUCAGGGCCAUACAUGGCUCCUUUAAGCCCCUGAGCCUGCCCUCACGUACUAGCCAAUGGACCAAAAUAAAAUGAAAAUCCCAGCACCCUCUACGUGGCAAGAAAAUCCGCCAACACUUGGGACCUACCUUCCCCGAACUCACACAGCUCCCCAACCCCGCCCCCAAACACACAUCGGAACCUCCCAUAGAACGCCCCU